rnacentral:rRNA from 1 species
UCAAGCGAACAAGGGCGCAGGGCGAAUGCCUUGGCACUGGGAGCCGAUGAAAGACGUGAUAAGCUGCGAUAAGCUUCGGGGAGCUGCAAAUAAGCAUUGAUCCGGAGAUUUCUGAAUGAGGAAACUCACCUGGGUUCAUACUCAGGUACAAUACACUGAAAUUUAAAAUAGGUGUAUUGAGGGAACCGCCUGAACUGAAACAUCUAAGUAGGGCGAGGAAGAGACAUCAAACGAGAUUCCGUAAGUAGUGGCGAGCGAACGCGGAAGAGGGCAAACCGAGAGUAGAAAUACUUUCGGGGUACGGACUGCUUUUAAGACUUAAUCUGUUAACCGAACGGCAUGGGAAGGCCGGUCAGAGAGUGUGAGAACCACGUAGGUGAAAACGGAGAGAGCUGCGCAGGAUCCAGAGUACGGCCAGACACGUGAAACCUGGUCGGAAUACGGGGGGACCACCCUCCAACCCUAAAUACUACCCAGUGACCGAUAGCGUAUAGUACUGUGAAGGAAAGGUGAAAAGCACCCCGGGAGGGGAGUGAAAAAGAACCUGAAACCCUGUGCCUACAAGCACCUAGAGCGCGUCAAAGCGUGAUAGGGUACUUUUUGUAGAACGGUCCGGCGAGCGAUUGUAUGCAGCAAGGUUAAGGACUUAAGGUCUGGAGCCGAAGCGAAAGCGAGUUUGAAAAGGGCGUUAAGUUGCAUAUAAUGGGCCCGAAACCGGGUGACCUACCCAUGGUCAGGUUGAAGUGGAAGUAAAAUUCCAUGGAGGACCGAACCGACCUCCGUUGAAAAGGCGGCGGAUGAACUGUGGGUAGCGGAGAAAUUCCAAUCGAACCCGGAGAUAGCUGGUUCUCCCCGAAAUAGUUUUAGGACUAGCCUCAAGUUAGAUACCUGGAGGUAAAGCACUGAAUAGCCUAGCGGCCGAGAGGUUAGCGAAGCUUAUCAAACUCAGAAUGCCAGAGUAUUGAUGCUUGGGAGUCAGACAGUGUCAGAUAAAUGUCAUUGUCAAAAGGGAAACAGCCCAGAUCUACAGCUAAGGUCCCAAAGUCAGGUUAAGUGGAAAACGAUGUGAAGAUACGCAGACAACCAGGAUGUUGGCUCAGAAGCAGCCACUCAUUCAAAGAGUGCGUAAUAGCUCACUGGUCGAGCGUCUUUGCGCGGAGAAUUUAACGGGGCUAAACCUGACACCGAAGCUUAGGCAAUACAGCAAUGUAUUGGGUAGGGGAGCGUUGUAUACGCGGAGAAACAGUAGCGCAAGCGGCUGUGGAGUGUAUAGAAGUGAGAAUGCCGGAAUGAGUAGCGCGAAUGCAGUGAGAAUCUGCAUGGCCGAAAGCCUCAGGUUUCUGGAGGAAGGUUCGUCCGCUCCAGGUUAGUCGGGAGCUAAGGUGAGGCCGAAAGGCGUAGCCGAUGCACAGACGGUAGAGAUUCCGUCACCACCAAAAGAGUUAAGCACAGGGACACAUAUGAAGUCUCAGAGCCGGGUGUUGGUUCCGGUAGAGAUCGAGGGAAAUUAGUACCGAAGUCUGAGAUGGAAGAUGGCGAGAAAAGCUGUGUGUAUUUCUGAGGUGCCCGUACCGCAAACCGACACAGGUAGGUAGGAAGAAGAUUCUAAGGCCAACGGGAGAAGGGUUGUUAAGGAACUCGGCAAAUUGACCCCGUAACUUCGGGAGAAGGGGUGCUCCAGAGAUGGAGCCGCAGAGAAUCGGCCCAAGCAACUGUUUACCAAAAACACAGGUUUGUGCUAAAUCGAAAGAUGACGUAUACGAGCUGACGCCUGCCCGGUGCUGGAAGGUUAAGAGGAGAUGUGCAAGCAUUGAAUCGAAGCCCCAGUGAACGGCGGCCGUAACUAUAACGGUCCUAAGGUAGCGAAAUUCCUUGUCAGGUAAG